rnacentral:misc_RNA from 1 species
AUUGAAUUCAACAUCAUCCCGGAACUGGCGACCGCGCUGCGUUCGGUGGUUGCAGGCCAGAACGACAUGUCAUUCGCGCUGCCCGCGCGCCUGAAGCCGGUCAUCGACCGCGCGAAGAAUCUGACAAACGUGACAUCGCCAACAUUGUAUUGCGUGCAACUCUACAUCAACCAUGGCCGUGCGCCGCUCGACAACGUCAAGGUCCGGCAGGCGAUCAAUUUCGCGCUGGACCGCGAUGCCUUCGUCAAGGCGACGAUGAAUGGACUCGGCGAACCGGCGAGAAUGACAUUACCCAGCACG